rnacentral:lncRNA from 1 species
UAUGUCAGCUUCCUGCUACCAUGGAGAUUUACUAAACAGAGUCUGGGAUUUACUAAUCUGAGUAACAGGCAAUGGAAGUGGGUUCACUCUUUCAGCCAGUAGAUCCAGUCUUCUGCAUCUGCCUCUUCCCUCAGCUGCCUUCCAGCAACUUCGAGAACAGAGUUGGACAUUCCAAGCCUGGGAGACCCUGUCUCAGAACAUCUAGGCUCCCAGGUUG